UGGAACUCUGCAGUGUGUCAAGACCGAUCUUCUAGUUGCAUGAAAGGGCCUGAGGAGGUCAUCUAGUGCAAUCCCCUGCUCAAAGCAAGGUCAAAUACAAAAGGUUGCUUAGUAAUUGAUACUGAAGUGAAUCUUCAUUUCAAGCUGCUGUGUUUGUUGAGGAGGAAGAAGAAUCAUCAUAACUCACCCAUUUCCGUAGAAAUAGAUAUGGCCCAUAUCUACCCAAGAAAUGAAACAAAACAAAGAGGCAGAGAUAAAGAAGCACUUGUAAUAGACAAUUCUGUCCAUUGA
rnacentral:lncRNA from 1 species